GUGCACUGUGCUUAGGAAUUCAUUCAUAUUUUUUUCAAACUAUAGUCCGACCUCUCAGCAGUCUGUGGGACAGUGAACUGGUUCCCUGUUUAAAAAGUUUGAGGACCCCUGAACUAAACCGUCCACUG